AGUCCACCGUAGCUGGACCGUAAGUGAAAAAAAAACGUUUCAUACGAUUGUUGCCCCGCACGAGAAGACGAGGGUUCCUCUGCCGCCGCCGCCGCGCCCACAUCUUCUUAUCCCCGGUGCUCGUCCUCUCCCCGCCGUCGCCGAAUCCGGACGAGAUCGGCAGGAUCGGCUGCAUCUCGCGCGACGCCCGGCCACUGUGCUCGGGGAGAAGGGAGAAAGUAGGAGCGGUGCUGCGACCUAGGCAGCAGCUCGCCAAGCCGGGCGGCGGCAAACGAGAGCCUCAGCCAAGAUUGGCCGUCGAAGCAGAGGAAGGGAGGAGCUCCAGCCGGAUACGAGCGGAGGACACCCAUGGCUCUUGGCGGCCAUCGACGGGGACUUGAAUGCCCCAGCCCCCAAAGCUUGCCUCAUCUUCUACAGGCAACAGGGGACGGCUUCCCUCCUGGCGCCCGUAGGCAGCCUCGGCUCGCCGCCGUCGGGAUCUGGCCAACACCGGCUCCUAGCGUUGCAUCCAUAAGUUCCGGAUCUCACCGCUGCGGGAUGCGAGGAAGAGGAUGAGGUACGGCAUGCAACAACGAAAGAAGGUGCAGAGCCAACGACUGGAUUUUGUUUGGUUAAAGAAGGUACAGGGCAACGACUGUAUUUAGAUCAUAAUAGGAUCGGUUCGCAUUGGUGGCGCAGUAGUGCUGCGUAGGCAGUUGCUACCAAUCUUCACCAUGCUGGAUGAAGCCGUCAAGGUGAGAUGAUCGAUUUCUUCUUGUCCACUGUCACCCUACUUAAGAUUACUGACCUGGUUCCUCUUAUUUCUCUUGUUGAUGCAAACCUGCUCACUUCACAAGAAGCGCUCACAACUUCCAUCGUAGACUUCGUGGCUGGCAUGCUUAUCUUAUUUUCCUUUCUGGAUCAGGGAACAAAUUGCUCGAUCAUAAUCGUUUGUUCUUCUUUCUGUUCCAGGAAAGCAUCGGAAAGAGAUGUUUCUAUGCAACAUAAUCCAAAAGUUUAAUUUGAGGUAUUCCAUCAAGUGUAUGUUCUAUAGCCUCCAUCCUGUAGUUUAUUUCCUUUGUUUCAGGUUGUACAGAGGAGCUCAGCGACAACUGAGGUGCUGCUAGAAUUACAUCAGCUACUAACUUACGUUAAUUUAAUCAAUUCCAUUGGCGUACUUUAGGAACGAGGCUGUAUUGGGUGGUCUCUGACCGCCUGACAGACAAUACAGAGUCGCCGUAGUUGUGUUGUGUUCAUGUAACACUGAAACUUGACAUAGUUAGUAUAAGAAGGUUUGGUUUACUUCCACUAUGUUGCUGUUCAAUCUAUUUUAUAAACAUGUUGAUUAGUCAUUCUGGCAAAGAUGCAUCUUCAAUAUUUCAGAAAUCUCUUUUCCAGAAACUCCAAUUCUGCUCAUAGGAAUUGCGAUGCCCAAUAUUUCUCAAUUUGCUGACAACGCUGUAAUAUAUGUAUGCUUUACGCAUGCCGAUCCAUUGGAAGAGUAUUUUCAAGGAUUUUGCUGCUUACUAAUUUUUUACAUCCAUAGCACAAACUAAGCGGUAGGGUGACUGUUCCCUUUCAUUAGAACUAAAACAUAUCUUUGUAUUUUUAUAAGGUAUUUCUCCCCAAAAUCUUACCCAAACGAUUCCCAUGAAGUAAUAUAUUUCGAUAUGUUUUUAAACUUCUAAUUAUGUGCCGUACAUUAUUGUUGUGGUGUUGAUCAUAUCAACCACGAAACAAGGUUUAUAUUUGUUUGAGUUUUUAUUCUCUAAUGAUAUAGCAUCCACAGGACCCGAGCACAAUGCUAAUUCAUAGAAAGCAUCUCUUGCUUGCGUUAAUUUGGCCUAGAGUUCUAUGUUUACAUGAUGCUCUGGAAGAAUUGUAUAUUGUUUAUCUCCCACAAGGUAAUUUUUUGAUUUAUCAUGUGUACUUCUGUAUUCAAUGUUUUCGUAACUUAUUUGACUUUUUGCACAUUAUGCAUUGACUGACCAUGAUCUAUGUGCCCAGAUAGCAGUAGAAUCAUCUUUGGAAAAACUAUUACUUGUGAAGAUAAAUAAAAGUUCCGUCUUAAAAAAUCAACUGAUGUGCUGGUUGAAAUUAUCAUGUUGGAUAAUAUUUGCUUUUACUAGCAGUUGCAGUGCUCUUGUUAUUUUAUUUCCACAAAUAUCAUCAUGUUUUGCUAUUGACGUCAUGCUAUAUUCCUUGACUGAAAGCAAACCCUUUAAUUGCAGCUGUACUAAGGAUUCUUUCCGUCUAUAUCAUGUCAUGAUUUUCUUACUAGCUGUAGUGGUGCUCUUAUUAUUUUAUUUUCCAGAAUUACUGUCAUUUCACAGAUGGUGUAAACCUUGUUCAUGGCUAACUUAUAGAAUAGCAAACCUGGUUCAUGGCUAACUUAUAGAAUAUCAAACCUUGUUCAUGGCUAACUUAUAGAAUUGCAGAAACAGAUUUCAAAAACCAUCAAUAUCAGGAACACUCUGACCAUGUAUUUGAUUAUGUGAAAGACCCAAUAUAUGAUGAGGUCCUGCAUCUCCCGAUGUUGAGCUAUAUAGACUGGUAUUUCCAGUAAAUUUUAUUGACAGACACUUUGGCGUCGUUAACAAUUGACACGCACUUUGGUGUCUCAGCAACCAGGUCGCCAUCGACCACCACGGUGGCUCGCCGUGAUGCCCUCCCGCCACCCUAUGUACGACACCAGCGGCGAGAUGGGCGGGAACUCUUUUGCGUGCCGUCACACAGGAACAACACACGUCAUACACUCUGAAGGACAUGUUUGUCAGGCUUGACCUUGCCGCCUCUGUUGCUGGAGAUCAGCCGAAGAGUUAGCUUAUUGCCGCUUUGCUUCAAUGCUCUUCGACUCUCCGUAAUGAGCAGCUGAUGGUGCUUGGACGAAACAAUUGAUCGGAAAAUGGGUAGUGUUGUACCGGUGGUCAUGUGUCCGCCCACUAACUGUAAAACACCUAAGAUGAUUCUUCAGGACUUGAUACAUUCCAAUUACACAUUUGGAUCUUCUUCUUACUGUGAUACUUGGUUUUACUUAGUAAUCUUAAGAUCAACUCUUUCGAUUUAUAACUAUAUGUAGAGCUCAGGACCAGACCUUGCAUGUGGCUGGUUUAAUUUGUUUACUGAAGAAAUUAGUUUAAAAAUGAUCACAGUUUUACACAUGUUCACACUAUUUUUGUUUCAAAAAUAUAUGUUUGCACUUUUUUUAAAUCAUAAAAAGUUCCCCCAAAAAGUUCCACUUUUACUAAAAAAAUCAUUUAGAAAUGUAUAAAAAUCAAGCAUUUUUUAAAGAAAAAACAUCUGUUAAAAAUGUGCUUUAGAGAAAUGUUUUAAUUUUCAUAAACGUUUAAGAUUCUUAAAGAAGUGUUCCAAUUUUUAUGUAAACCUAACUUCUAUUAAAAAUAAGCAAAUUUUCAUGGUUUCCUGAAAAGCCAAAAAAAAAAACGAUUGACAAACUACUCCAUGCAAAACUGCUCUUCCAUCUAAUGAAGAACCCUAAGUUGGCUUUUUCACGUCCAAACUUGAUUCUACAAAAAGCAAUAAUCAGUUUUACCUUAUCAUCGAAGUUUAUUAAAAUUGGAUAUAUAAAAUGGUGCACAGUGGAAUAUGAAGCUGUUUGUGUCUCUUUGUUUGCCCGGUGCAAUGCACGGGCAUUUGUACUAGUCUUUCCCUAAUAAUAAAGCACGGAUUGACUUUGUCGGGUUCACCGUCACAAUACGCUUCUUCCCGUGAUUUUACGCUUUCAGUUUGAAUUUAAAACAUAUUCGAGGUGGUACUAAAUUUUGUCUCCUCACAAUAUUAUUGACUCGAUUGACCGCUACGUUUCGCUUAGCUGGGCUGCGAUCCAGUUGGGCCUUGGCCCGUCUCUCUAUUAUGCCCGUCCGCUCACCGUCGUCAUACUUUUGCUAAAACACCCCUGUGUUUUUCCGUAAUACAACCCGUAGUCCUUAUUUUACUAAUAACGUUUCGUUAAAAAAAGGUACGUUUUAUCCAAACGCUCAGCGGACAAGUGAAGGUCAGGUGCGGGCGGAGCUGGGCGGAGCUGCGGCAGAAGGGGUGGCGCGACGAAGCAGGAGAAGAUGUUCAGGCGCGGCGCGGCGGGCGGAGCGGGAGAGGUUCAUGCGGAGCUGCGACAAAAGGGGCGGUGCAACGGAGCAGGAGAAGAUGGCCGAGAAGAUGUUCAAGCACGGCGUGGCGGGCGGAGCAGCAGAGGUUCAGGUGCGGCGCGGCGGGCAGAGCAAGAGAGGUUCAGGGGAGAUGCCAGCGGAGCAGGAGAGUUCAUGGGCGGUGGAGCAGGAGAGGUUCAUGGGCGGUGCCCUUGUCGCCGGACGGCCAUCCUUGCUGUGCUUGACGGAGGAUAGAAGGGGGAACAUUUUCUGGUGGGUACGCCGGCCGCGGGCGCGCUUUGCUGUGAUCUGUCCGCCGCCACCAAUCCUCUCCGGCCUCCUCCGUAUCCUUCUCAAUCUCGGACGAGCUAUUCCCGUGCCGUGAUUUGGAUGGACAAUAGGAGGUCGUGUCCUUCUCCAACACCAAGCAAUGGAGUGCCCGACCCGGAUUUGAGUUGUUUGCUAUAAGAAGGAGUGGUCCUCGGCCGAAAUCUCCAUCAUAUUGCGUCCUUGGACCAUAAGCUCCAUCAAAGCCCGUCCAAAUUGCUUUUUUUGACGCAACGUACAAUGUCGCCGUCGAGUUCGCCGGAGGAGGAAGUGCCGAGUUCGCCGAAGGAACAAGACCAUCUGUCCAACCGCCCAAUUUCGCCUGCCUCAGCUACACCAGAGAAAAUAGAUGACAUCACUGAACUGAACAUUGCAGAGGAUUUGGAUAAUCGACCUUAAAAAAAGCAAAAAUUGCUGAACCAGGUGUUCUGGAGCCAUCGCCAAUGUCGCCAACUAUGUCAGCAUCUACACCAAUUUCUGAAUGUUUUGAAUCCAUUGUGCCGGAAUUGGAUGAUCAGAUAGAUAAUGAUCCAUUGCCAUCUACUCCAUCACCAUCUAGCUCAACAUUAUCUCCUGUUUUCUCAUUACAUGAUAUUAAGGAACCAGAUUCAAAUAAAGAGAUCAAAGUUGAUGAGACAUGAUUAUCUCCCACAAGACUAUGCAUUGACCGACCAUGAUCUAUGUGCACAUAUAGCAGUAGAAUCAUCUUUGAGUAAAGAAUUGCUGGUUCGGAUAGAUAGAAGUUAUGUGUUACAAAAUCAAUUGAUGUGCCUGCUAGAUGAAAAGGAGUGGGUAAAUGAUGGUGUGAUCUAUGCAUAUAUAUGUUGUUUAAAGGACUAAAUUCAUGUCCAGAAUGACAAUAAAGUAUAUGUUGAGAGUCCUUUUGUUACCUCACUAUUAAGACGGGAUGGUAACCUUGGCAUACAAGAAGAUAGUGCCUUUAUGACAAAUAUUGUCCAAAAAUAUAUGGAGUAUGACAUGAUAGAACUUCCAAUAAAUGCCAGCAACAUGCAUUGGUAUUUAGCUAUCGUGAAUACAAAAAAGCGUGAGAUUCAAGUACUGGACUCAUUGUGCUGGAAGUUUGUCCGAGAGGACCUUGCUAUUACGCUACGAGGAGUACAAUUUCAUUUGGAUAUUCUUAAAAGUCAAAACCUGAUUAAGGACGAUUGGAAAGACGUUGAUCUUACUGAAUGAAAGAUCACAGAACAAUUACAAACUCCAAUUCAAGAAGACAGUUCUUCUUGUGGUUUAUUUACGGUCAAAUUUAUGGAAUAUUUCACCGGACGUACACUAUCCUACCCAAUUACACAGCUGGAGCCUUGGCGGUACAUAAAAUAUGGCAAGCCUUGUUGUUUGAACACUUCUACUGAAAGGAAUUGGGUAUAUACGCAACAUGAGUGUGAACUUAAUUUUUUGUGUGAGCCCAUAUUAAACCAGAAAAAACUUUCAAAGUCAUGAGGGUCCCUGGAUAAAGCCCACGGAGACAAGCUGGGUAGAUACAUUGCUUUGUUGGCACGGUUCAAAGAUAACUCGUCGCCUUGGGUUAAUCACUUUCGAAGCGCCAUGGCCACGUGGACGGCCACCGUUCCUGGCGGUGGGAAGGAGCAAAAACAAAGGUGGUGCCGCGGAUUGUGUGUGUGGGGGGGGGGUGCGGGA